GACGAACGCUGGCGGCGUGCCUAAUACAUGCAAGUCGAACGCAGUGGGGACGGGUGAGUAACACGUGGGUAAUCUCCCAUCCGAGGGGAUAACACUUGGAAACAGGUGCUAAACUGACACUGAUGGAUGGACCCGCGGUGCAUUAGCUAGUUGGUGAGGUAACGGCUCAGCAAGGCCACGAUGCAUAGCCGACCUGAGAGGGUGAUCGGCCACACUGGGACUGAGACACGGCCCAGACUCCUACGGGAGGCAGCAGUGGGGAAUAUUCGGCAAUGGACGAAAGCCUGACCGAGCAACGCCGCGUGAGUGAAGAAGGUUUUCGGAUCGUAAAGCUCUGUCGUUCGAGAGGCGGUAUCUAAACAAAAAGCCACGGCUAACUACGUGCCAGCAGCCGCGGUAAUAC
rnacentral:rRNA from 1 species